rnacentral:rRNA from 1 species
UACAGAGGGGGCAAGCGUUGUUCGGAAUUACUGGGCGUAAAGGGCGCGUAGGCGGCCAACUAAGUCAGACGUGAAAUCCCAUGGCUCAACCAUGGAACUGCGUCUGAUACUGGAUGGCUUGAGUUCGGGAGAGGGAAGUGGAAUUCCAGGUGUAGCGGUGAAAUGCGUAGAUAUCUGGAGGAACACCGGUGGCGAAGGCGGCUUCCUGGACCGACACUGACGCUGAGGCGCGAAAGCCAGGGGAGCAAACGGG